rnacentral:lncRNA from 1 species
AAUCACUUAACUCUUUCCUUCUUGCCGACUGUUCUUAUUCAACAAUCACCAUUAUUGCUGGUUAUGUGCAUUGUGAUGAAAAUUCUGCAAUGAAUAACUUUUUACCUAAUGUUUUCUGUUGGAACAAAUUACUCUGGUAGAAAAGCCCUACAGGGUUUGAGAAAUCCCAUGAUGUGAUGAUUGUGAGCAUUUUAGACACCGUGUAUGGGUUUAUUUUGUGACUAUAAAAUGUUAAGAUUGUUUCUAGUUUUGGUUUGUAGUGCAUAAAAGGAUUCAAAAUUUGACAUCUGUCUAAAUCAGAUUAAUAACAUGAUAAUGUACAUAUGCAAGAUGUGAGGAAUUGUUUUAUCUCACCCCUAAACUUUAAGAAAUUGAAACAUUAUCAUUCAAAAUAUUUACCAUUUCCAGAAUUGAUAGUUAGUCUAUUUGAGCAGUGACUGGUGGUUAUCAUGAACUGAUGUGUGGUUGUGGUGUCAAAUCUUGGUGAAACCUGUUGUCAUCUGCCGGUUAACAUAGCUAGUCUCUGAAAUAAUUUCUUGAUUCACUAAUUAUGAGUUCAAAUUUGAUGCAGAAUGGGCAACCAGCCUACUGCAAACAAAUCUUCUGGAACAGUUCAGAUGAAGGGACAGCCAAUCCAGCAAAACAGCAACUGCUGUGGUUAGCCGAGCAUCUUAUUUUACUUCUACAUGUUAGCUGACUGAUUGUAUACAGUUUUAACUAUGUUGACUGCAUUAUCUUAUGAGUCUUUUAAUAUGUCAAAUAUUUAUUUCCUGCUUUAAGUUCUUUCCGUUUAUAACAAAUUUAAUUUCUUGCUUCAUUGCAUUCCAAAUUCCUGUCAAUUUACGAGGGAAAAAGAAAAGGGAGACGAAAUCGGAGAAAAUGCUCAAAUUUGUUUGUUUAUUGUCGUGACCCUCUUGUAGCUUGUCUAUGACCUGGAAGUCCGGUCAUAUCGGAUGGGUAAAGUUACCAAAACGGCAUCAUUUUGGGUGAAAUAUCAUAUUUGAUAAUAUUUUUAUGCAACAAAAAAAUGUUCGCAGUACCCUUUUCACAUUGUGAAGCGCAUGAUCGGAUGAGAGCAGUCUGGAUUCUGGCAUCACAAGCUAAUGCUUUGAUUUGCUUAGUUUGUUUUUUGUUUCUGAUAUUUUCUUGGCAUUGGGUGGGAUAUUGUUUCUCUUUUGAGUUUCCUUUUUUUUUUUUUUUUGAUUAUGGAAUUUGGAGAUAGUGUACAUGUAUGAAGAUGACGUAAUCAAGUUGUUUUGAUAAAUUUCCCUGGUCGGUUUACUUCACUAACCAUUAAUGCGCAAAACCUCCUGAUGACCCUAAAAAAUCCCGUACAUAAUUAAAGAAUUUCAAUUUUAUAUGUACAAAAAUAAAUAACUCUCAAAUAUAUUAUUUGAUAAUUCCAAAAACAACUAUUCACUCUAAUAAAUCUCGUAGGAAAUACAUGGUCUAUAUUGUAAGUCUUUUCGAGACUAAUUCAAAAUACGAAGGACAUAUAAUUGACCUCUACAGAACUCUAAAUAUCAUAAAGAACUUUAAAUAAAUUUAUAUACGCAUCACAAUUAAUUACAGCCUUGAUACUUCAUUUGGUUUUUGUUAAUUUUCUAUACAGUUGUGCUGUGCAUAAAAGUUUUGUUAAAUGAAAUCGGUAGGUGAGGGUUAAUUAAUCAAUUAAUUAAGAUCCAGUUAAUGUAAUUAAUUUUAUUUGAUUUUUUUAAUUCGAGUUCUAAAUUAAUCAAUUAAUUUAGAUUCAUGUGAAAUUGAAGUGAAUUAGUUUCGAUCUGUUUUUGGUCCUAUGUUUGUAUGUGUUUACUCUUACUUUUCUUUUUGUUUAAAUUUUCGUUUUCUUAUUUUUUCCUGAAUAAAUUUCUGAGCUUUAUUUGAGUAUGAUGAUUGAUUUGUGAUUUUAAUUUGUGACUUUUUUUUUUGGAAUUUAAAUCUGAAUGCUUUUUAAGUUGAAUCUGAAUGUGUUGGGCUGCGAUUUAAUUGAGUGAUGUGUGAGCGCAAAAUAUACAAUAACUGAUAAAUUAUAUUUAUAAAUAUUAAUAGCGAUGGCACAUAAACAAUUAAUUCAAGAACUCGCCCAAAGUGCAUUAAUUUGAAGAGUAUAAAUAACAUUGCAAUACAAUCUAGCCCUUACGUGUUUAAUUAGCAAUUACACGAACAUUAUAACACUCUGUUGCUGAUGCGGCAGCUAGUAAUUCUUCUGGUGAAGAUAUUAAGGCUGUUAAAGCUAAAAUGUAAUCAGAGAAAUAUAAUGCAUUCCCUUAGUUUGCUUUUUGUUUUUGAUAUUUGUUUGGCUAAUGCUUUGCUUAGAUUGCUUUUUGUUUUUGAGAUUUUAUUGGCUUAGUCAUGGUAUAUUGUUUUCUCUUCUAAUUUUCUAUUUUUGUCGUUAUGGGAUUUGAUGAUGGUGUACACAUACGAAAAUUAUGUAAUAAAGUGCUUUCAAUAAAUCAUGGUCGGUUUACUAUUAAUUAAUUAAAUU